GGCUGGUCCAAGUGCAGUGGUGUUUACAACUAAUUCAUAACCAGUUACAUAUUUGUUCCUUCUCCACUCCCACUGCUUCACUUGAGUAGACUUAG
rnacentral:Y_RNA from 1 species